rnacentral:rRNA from 1 species
AUUGAUAAAAAUAGUUUUUAUAAUUUUUUGGAAGAAGUAUAAAUAUAUUAGUAGUGUAAACGAAAAUAAUUAUUUGCUAUAGAGAAUUAGUACUGUGAAGGAAAUAUUGAAAUAUUUGAAAAUUUUUCAUAAAAAAAGUACUUUUAAAAUUAGGUACCUUUUGUAUUAGUGGUUAUUAAAAUAAAAAUAAAAUUUUUUUCUCGAAAAUAAAAGAUCUAAGUUAGUUUAAUAGUUUUUGUGUCAAAAAAAUUAUAAAAUUUAAUUUAGGUGUGAUAUUCUAAUCGCUUUUAUUAAUAUCUAGUUACUUCAGAAAAAAAUUUAGUUUAAAAUAAUGAGGGUAACUUUAAUUUUAAGUAUAUCUAAAAUUAUUUUUAAAUUUUAGGGGAUGAGCUCUAAAAUUAUUAUAAAAGAAAUAAAAUCAUUUAAUUUUUUUUAGGCUUAGAAUUAGCCAUAAGAUAGUGUUAUAAAAUAAAAAUAUAAAUUUAAGAUUUUGUGUAUCUUUUAAAUUUAUGAAGUUAAUUUAAAAAUUAAGAUAAAGAUGAAAAUAUGAUAAUAUUAGUAGAUAUAUAAAUAAUGAAAUUUAUUAUAAAUAUUUCAUAAUUUUUUAUUAAAAAAAAAUUAACAAAAGAACUCGGCAAAUAGAAUUUCCGAAUGUUUAACAAAAACAUUUCCUCCUAGUUUAGGAGGUAAGGCCUGCUCACUGAAAAUUUAAAGAGCCGCAGUAUCCUAACUGUGCUAAGGUAGCAUAAUCAUUAGUCUUUUAAUUGGAGACUGGUAUGAAUGGCUAAACGAGAAAUUGACUUUUUUUGUUAUAAAAAUUGAAUUUAAUUUUUUAGUGAAAAAGCUAAAAUAUGUCAGAAAGACGAGAAGACCCUAUAGAGUUUUAUAUUUUAAUUUUUUUUUUCUUAUUAGGUUUUUUUAGAAAAAAUUUUGUAGAAUAUUUUGUUGGGGCGACAUUAAGAUAUAAAAAACUCUUUAUUUUAAAAAUUUUUAUUAAAAGAAGGUUUGAUCCUUUAAAAGAGAUCAAAAGAAAAAAUUACCUUAGGGAUAACAGCGUAAUCUUUUUUGAGAGUUCUAAUCGACAAAAAGGUUUGCGACCUCGAUGUUGGACUAAAAUUUAGGCAGGGUGCAGCAGUUCUGCUUUUAGGUCUGUUCGACCUAUAAUAUUUUACAUGAUCUGAGUUCAGACCGGCGUAAGCCAGGUUGGUUUCUAUCUUUUGAAUUGAGAAUUUCAACUUAGUACGAAAGGAUUGGUUGAUUAUAAUUUUUAUAUUAUAUUGAGGAUUAUUAAAUUUUUUUAU